UAGCUUUCAGUCGCUGCCGAGCCGAGACGGAGGGAAGAAAAAGAUCGAAACAAAAGACAGUCAAGUCAGUCAGUCUUUUGCUUGCUUCCGUGUGGAUUGUGUCUACAUUCGAAAACGUUCGCGAAAAGUCUUCGUCGAUUUGUAGUGAAGUGACUGAAUGCUCUUCCCCUUUUAGUGCGGGUUUUGUUUGCAUCAUUUUUCCGUCGUCACCGCGACAACUUAAUUUGAUUCGUCGUUUUCCGCUAACGGAGUUCGUAAAAAAGGUAAAAUUUGGCCCGGAAGCAAACCCGAUGGCUGAUCGAGAAUGGUGAAAGUGGAUGUUGAUUGUUAGAAUGUAAUGCAGAAAUUAGCAGGUGGUUAGGAAAAUUUUCACACCAUCGAAUUACAAAAAAAAAAAGGUUGGGAGAAAAAGCUCGCAAAAAAACAAAUGGUAGUGUGUUGGGUGGCUUUUGGUGUGAAUUUCGGCGAGAAGACGAAUGUUUUUUACUGUGAAAGUGCGGUGUUCUGACAACGAAGAAUCAUCAAAAAUCGUCGUGUGCAAAUUCUAUUGGUUCACUUCGCAUUCGCAUUCGUAUUUUUAGGGGAUAGUUCGAUAGAAAGAGACAGAAGAACACUGAUGCGAAUGGAAGCGAGAGCGAGAAUGCACAUCAAUGUUAUCACUCGCCUACAGAAUCCACCUCCCAUUGAAAUCUUUCAAGAGCGAAAAGGACAUCGCUAGUGCGGUCGUGAAAUCCGCGACUGACAGACAGAACACUGCGCUGUUUUGACGCUGUUGACCGUGGCGACCGCGACCGAACAACAACAACAGUACUGGUCGCUGCCACUACACCACCAACACCAGCACCACCCAUUGCGAUCAUUAAAGGCACAUUAUUUACGUAUUUUUAAUUAAUGCUUUUUCGCAGAUAGAUACGCGAUAGUGUAGUGGUUAGCGUUAGUGUGUUCUUAUAGUAGUAUAAAGCUGACUCGACUUUUUCGAUCGAGACGACGACACCAAACCGAAACCGCAAGUUAUUGUUGGACCGUCCGACGGAACGGAUGCCCCCUCAUAUUUUACGCGAGUGAUUUUUUUUUCGUUUGCGGUUCGAACGAGCGCGAGUGUGGAAGAUUUAAGAAGGUAAAGGUGACACCACAUACGGCGAGUACUUUUAUAGGCGAAACGAAUCGAGAAUCUCGGCGAUCGACGACGAACGGCACUAAUAUUCCUAAUUGCACGACGUUGACGACGACGACGACGGUACGUGAGAUGCGGUGAUGAUGUUGGACAAAGCGCCCCGAUCUUAGCAAUAGCGAAGUUAAUCAUCAGCAGAUUGCAGGUCUUGCGGUGGAGGAGCGCUAGAGUGGUCCAAAACUGGAAUUUAAAACUUUGUUCUUCCUUAAAUGGAGGGUUUGGUGAUCAAGUGGAGCGUCAUCCAGGAAUUGCGUGUUGAACGUUGCAAAAGAUAAAGAUGUUUUGUGCCUUUUUGAGAACGAUUUCGACAGAAAAUCACUUGUGCUGUAUGUACCAGAAAUUCACGUGAAUUGGUUUUCGAUUAUCAUAUGUAAUGUCACGUUGAAUAGAGUGCAUUCGAACAAUCAUUAAUGAUCAUUAGCUGCUUGCGUAGUUUAGAACUAACGAGCCUGGAAUAACAAAGAGAGGAAAUGUCAAAAUUGGAACAACCGAUUUACUGUCACCCCCAUAGUUCCAAUCGAGCAGAAGACCUGUUAAAACGACCAGGAUUCGCCACUUUAGUAUACUCGAGACACUUUUAGAAACACUGCCUUUCAAUAAGGUAUCCUACAAGCAGGAUUCUGCUGCCAUGGAUCAUCGUGGCUACAUGUUUCGUCGUGGCAACUGUUUCGUCGACCUCUCGAAGCUGGAGCAACCCGUAUUCAACAACGUGGCUAAGGAUGAUCGAAUUAAUUUUCCGGAAGAACAACUAUCGAUGCUGCUUUGUCGUGGAGAAUAUAAAUCCAAAACAGAUCAAGACUACAACAAGAGGGAAAACAUUGCCAGAGAAAUCUGGGAUGGAAUUGCUGGAAGAUUCUCCGAAAGAAAUUGCUGGAGGUUUUUUCAUAAGGGAUAUCUGGAGGAUUCCUAAGAAGAAAACUAUAAACUCCUGGGGAAAUUUAUUCUGGAGUUCUUCUGGGAAAUUCUCCAUGAGUUCUCUCUGGAGAUUCCAUCAGGAGUUCUCUUUAGGGACUCUUUCACGAGUUCCCUUUCGGGAUUCCUCCAGCAGUUACCUCUGGAAAUUCUUCCAGGAGUUCCUUUUGGAGAUUUCAUCACAAGUUCAUUCUGUGGAUUGUUCUAGGUCAUCGUUUCGCGACUCCUCAACUGCUUGCAUGCACGCUUUGAUUGUUCUGCGGAAGGCGGGGUGACAACCGACUGGGAUUCGCGAGAGCCAAUGUUAAUGAUUGUCUAGGUGUUCCUUCUAGAUUUUUUUCCUUGAGUUCUUCCUGGGGAUUCCUCCAGAACUUUCUUCUGAAGAUUUCCUCAGGAGUUCCCUCUGUGAAUUCCUCCAUGGGUAUCUUCACGGGAUUUCUCCAGGAGUUUCCUCUGAAGAUUACACCAGAGGCUCCCAUCGCAAAUUCCUCCAAAGGUUCCCUCUGGAAAUUCCAUCAGGGACAACCUUUGGGGCACUUCUUCAGAAGUUUCCUACAGGAAUUUCCUUUUGGGUCCCUGAAAAGGUUCCCUCUGGGGAUUUCUCCAAGAAUUUAUUCUAUAAAUAUCUGUAAAAGUUGUUGCAGGAGUUUUUUUUCUGGAAAUUCCUCCAGAAGUUUCAUUUACAAAAUUCUCCAGGAGCUCUGGAGAUUCCUUCAGGAAUGCCAUUUGAGUAUUUUCCAAGAGUUACACUUGUGGAUUACUCCUGGAGUUUCUUCAGAAGAUUUCUCCAGGAAUUCCAUCUAGGCAUUCCUCCUGAAGUUCCUUACUGCAGCGAUUUCUCCAGGAGUUUAUUCUGGGCCUUCCUCUGGAAAUUUCGUCAUUGGAAUCCGCCAAUAGUUUCUCUCGAGACUGCUGUUUGAUUCCCUUUUCAGAUUUUGCUCAAAUUCUCGUUGGAAAUUCCUCCUGGCAUUAUUUUUAAAGAUUACCCAGGAUAAUCCUUCAACUUUCCCCAGAAGAUCCGUUUGAGGAUCCCUUUGGGACUUUCUUCUAAGGAUUCUUCUUUUACUCACUUCUAGGAAAUACUCCAGGAAUUCCUUUCUGAGAUUUCUCCAGAAGCUCCCUCUAAGAUAUCACUGGUAGUUCUGGCAAAUCUGGAGAUUGCUCAAGGCGUUCCUUUCGGGGAUUCCUAUUGGAGUUCAUUCUGAGGAUUCACCCAUGAAUUCCAUUUUCGGAUUACUCCAGAAGUUUGUACUGAGAAUUCCUGUAGAACUCCUGGAGAAAUGUCUAGACGGAAGUCUAGAAAUAUCUGGAAAAAGCGAGAAAUAAGGAGGAGUAAUCGGGAGGAAUAAUCAGGAGCAUGGAAUAGCUCAAUGAGAAACUUCUGGAAGAACUCUUCAAGGAGCUUAUGGAAGAACUUCAGGUGGAACAUCUUCCCGAAAAAUUUCCAGAGGAACUCCUCAUAAACACACUUUUUGAAAAAAAUCCCGAUAAUUUCUGGCUAAACUCUAGAAUGAAUAUCAGAACUCAGGAAGGAGCUUCUGCCAGAAAUCUCGUUGGUUACUCUACUAGAAGAUUGUCCAGAAUUACUAUUGAAAGAAUUUUUAGAAGUUCUAUUUGAAGACUUCACUGGGAAACUUUUGAAGAGAAAAAUCUCAAAGCAAGCUCUUGAAGAAUGACUAAAUUCUUAAAGAGUUUGCGGGGAAGAAUUCUGGGAGGAGUUUCAAGAUCUUCAGUAGCGCUCUUGAGAAUUACGAAAAGAACUUUUAGAAGGACUCUCACAUCUCUUCUGGGAGUACUUUUCGGGGAGCUUCUGGAAAAAGCCCCAAAAAUUCUUUUGUAAAAAUUCUCCGUAAAAUUUCUGAAAAAUAUUCCUUUGAAAUCCCUGUAAGAAGUCCCGAAAAAACGCUCUGAAAAAUUACUAGAAGAAUUUAUUGGAGAAUAAACAGAAUCACUUUUAGAAUAACUUAAUAAGAAACAUCUGGAAGAAUUCUUCAAAGAAAUUCUGGAGGAACUUCAGGUUACUCCUUCGCCGAAGAAAUCUCAGAGAAACUUCUUGAAGAACUUCACGAUGAAUUUCCGGAAGAAUUAUAGAAUAAACUUCCCAAAGAACUCACUGAGGAGCAUCUGCCAGAAAUAUCAGUGGAAAGUCUAGAAGAAUCCCCAGAAGAACUCUUGACAGAUUGUGUAGAAGUUCUUUUAAAAGAAUUCACUGGGAAACUUUUGAAAAACAAAUCUCAGAGAAACUUCUCGAAGGGUUUCUAAAUUCUAAAAUAAUUUACGGAGAAAAAAUCUUGGAGGAACUUCUGGACCUCCUGUAGCGAUUUUUUUCGAGGAGCUUUAGUAAGAAUCAUCCGUAGAAUUGCCAAAAAAAAAUCUCGGAAGAAUUUUUGGAAAAAAAAAUCUUAAAAAACUUCUGGAACAACUCGGAGCAUUUCCUUGACAAAAAAAAUCCGUAGGAAUUUCCUGGAAGAGCUUCUGGAACAAUUUCCGCAUGCACAUUUAAAUGAUUGUGGAAACUUCUGUGAAAACUGUUGAAUGGAUUCCCCGGCGAAUUCUUGGAAUAAUUUUCUGCAAAACUGUUAGAGGAAUUCCAGAAGGAACUUGAAAAAAGUUUUUUAUAACAAGGAGGGUUACGCCUCCAAUACGUUAUGAAAUUCGAGUCAACAACGCAUCCCUGAAUGUAACCAAUGCAAUAAUCUCAUGGGACAAUUAUGCCAAAGUACUUUAAGAGUCGCAAGACGUAAGCGAGCAGCUGUUUUCUUUUUGUUUAGGUACUCUAGGAAAUCCCUACUAUCCUUGAGAUAAGACUUACAUGGUCAACAGGAUCUACCGCAGCCACAAUCCUACAUAACUUUGCGGCUUUCUACCGUUUAUUAUCCGAGUUGCUUUGUUGCUUGGUUAUUGUUAUCCAUGGUACUCCACAAUACUACCAGAAAAUCUUUUUGGGGGUGUACGACAUUGCACUAAGGGCCAGAAUCGCAAUCUAGCGGAACAACAUUAAUUACUCCAAAACGAAGCAUUUCCGAUACAUGGUGUCUUCGACAAAGUUGUUUGACAUUAGCAGGGGCAUCUAUUGCUAUGAACGUAGUAGUUCGCAACUCGUCCGCAUAGGUGGCGCCACCAUCUAACUUCUUUGUUUCACGUCCUAGAGAUUUGGCGUCUUCGGUAAAGUUGUUUAUUUUUGCAAAAUAAACAACUCUUUCUCAGACGUCAAAAUUCCACAGCCUACUGUUUUCGAGUUAUUUAAAAAAUAAAAACCAAUCAAUGAAAAAACAGUUUUUUAAGCUUAUUUUGACAUUUUUACUAGAAACCAUGUGAGUUUUUAUUUUUUCCUAAUGCAUAUGUGUCAAACCAAACACAUUGUACGGGAAUAUGUUGAAUAUUAUCAUUAAAAAUUAAAAAUAAAAAUACAAAUUCGAAAAAAUAGUGUGAAUUUCAAGGCCUAAUAUCUCACAAAGCGCAAAAAAUCGCAUCUUCAAAUUUUCAGCAAAUACGGAGCAAUACUAUGUGAACAUACUGCCAAAAAUUUGGAGAGGUAUUUUUUGGUGUUUUUGAGAUAAUAGCUUUUUAGUAACAGUAUAAAUAUAAGUAUUGCCGGCAUGUAACUAUUUACUGUUACACAUUAGAGAGUUUAUGUAUUCGAAAAAGUUGUUCAUUUUGACUAAAUAAACAACUAUUUCUUAGACGUCAAAAUUCCACGGCCUACUGUUUUCGAGUUAUUGCAUAUAAACUAAAUAAUAUUGAUAAAAAAUUACAAUUAAAUACCUUUUGAUGCAGUAGUAUGAACUAUUUUUAUUGUUAUGACUUGCAAAAGAUUAAAAGAUAUCUUGACCCAUGCUGACAAUAGUAAGCUGAUAUUUUCAUGACUUACUAUGUAUCGUAAAAGUAAAAACAAUAAAAAAUACUUCAUACUAUUGCAUCAAAAUGUGUUUUAUUGUCAUUUUUAUCAAUAUUAUCUAGUUUAUAUGCAAUAAUCCGAAAACAGUAAGCCGUGGAAUUUUGACGUCUAAGAAAUAGUUGUUUAUUUAGUCAAAAUGAACAACUUUUUCGAAUACAUAAACUCUCUAAUAUGUAACAGUAAAAAGUUACAUGCUGGCACUACUUAUAUUUAUACUGUUACUAAAAAGCUAUUAUCUCAAAAACACCAAAAAAUACCUCUCCAAAUUUUUGGCAGUAUGUUCACAUAGUAUUGCUCCGUAUUUGCUGAAAAUUUGAAGUUGCGAUUUUUUGCGCUUUGUGAGAUAUUAGGCCUUGAAAUUCACACUAUUUUUUCGAAUUUGUAUUUUUAUUUUUAAUUUUUAAUGAUAAUAUUCAACAUAUUCCCGUACAAUGUGUUUGGUUUGACACAUAUGCAUUAGGAAAAAAUAAAAACUCACAUGGUUUCUAGUAAAAAUGUCAAAAUAAGCUUAAAAAACUGUUUUUUCAUUGAUUGGUUUUUAUUUUUUAAAUAACUCGAAAACAGUAGGCUGUGGAAUUUUGACGUCUGAGAAAGAGUUGUUUAUUUUGCAAAAAUAAACAACUUUACCGAAGACGCCAAAUCUCUAGGACGUAAAACAAAGAAGUUAGAUGGUGGCGCCACCUAUGCGGACGAGUUGCGAACUACUACGUUCAUAGCAAUAGAUGCCCCUGCUAAUGUCAAACAACUUUGUCGAAGACACCAUGUGUCGGAAAUGCUUCGUUUUGGAGUAAUUAAUUUUGUUCCGCUAGAUUGCGAUUCUGGCCCUUAGUGCAUUGUAAGGUAUGUGAAAUGUUGUGGAGUUCUGAGUCCUGAACAGGACUUCCCAAUUCUACAGAAUCUACCACAAUUGCCAAUCAAUCUACAUUUGCAGUUAUUGUUCUAUGAUAUCCGUGAUGCUCCACAACCCAACGAUAAGGCCUUUUUACAGUUGUUGUCGGAUAUUGUAAAGUUUGCAAAAUGUCCUGCAGUUCAGAAAAUCUACCAUAAUUACCGUAGCGUAGAUUGCAUACGCUUGUGGUUAACGGUUAUUGUUACCCAUGGUACACCGCAAUGCUAUGAGAAAAUCUCUUAGAGGUUGUACGACAUCGUAAGGCAUGCGAAAUGUUCUAAACUUCAUGUCUUCUAAGGUCUACAGAAUCUAUCACAAUCGCCCUUCAAUCUACGUUUGUUGCUUAUCUCAGCAGUAGCUUAGACAUUGUGAGGUUUGAGAAAUGUCCUGAAGUCCAGAGUAUUCAAGCUCUACAGAAUGUACCGCUAUGCCGUGUUCUACGAUUGAGGUUUCCGGUUAUUGUUGUCCAUGAGAAUGCCAAAACUCUACAGAAUCACCUCAAUUGCCGUUGUUCACCGAUAUCCAGAAUUCGCCGCAAUCUAACGAGAAAUCCCUUUAUGGUUUUCAGUCCUGACCUCCAGGGGAUUCUGCGAACUUUAGAAUAUCUGACAAUCGUAAGAAAACUUAUUUUUGCAUUGCGGAGCACCAUGGAUAACAACGAAGAUAAGCAGCAAGCGUAGUUUGAAUGGCGAUUGUUGUACAUUUUGUAGACCUAGAAAGUUCUGUGUUCCAAGACAUCUACAAACCUUACCAUGUCUACCAAUCAUUAAAGGGGUUUCUUAUGUUUAUAGAGUGCUGGAUAAGUCGUAGAUGUUGAUUGGGGUAGAUUUGACUUUGCAAGCCCUGAACUUCAGGACAAUAAAAACGUAGAAGGGCUUCUUGUUAGAUCGCGGAAAGCCAUGGAUAUCGGUGAACAAUAACUAACUGGAACCUCAAGCGUAGAUCAAGGCUUAGCGGUAGAUACUGUAGAGUUUGAAUGAUAGUUAUUCCUAUCCCUAAAGAGGGAAAGGACAAGACGCUGAUGGAGGGUUGUAGAUCAUUGACCUUACUAAUUUAGUCGCAUGGGAAAAACACUCGAGCGGAUGGUUAACCGUCGCCUGUCAACAGAGUUGGAAAAGCAUGAGCGAAUCCAUGUUCUUUUCUGAGCUAGAUCGUCUGUUGCGAAAAGCGUCGAGUGAGAACCUGCACGUAGAUGUAGCCUAUGACAUGACAUGGAGACUCCCUAUUUUGACGACUACCCUCAAGAGAUAGAAUAUCCAAAGGCACAAAAAUGCCUAAUAAAAGAACCGAAACGUCGGGCAAAGCAAAAAUAUCCGUUUUGAUUUACCCAAGACUGAGAAAGCCAGCUUUCCGGAGUAAACCUUUAUCAAGCACGCCAAGCAAGUGAAGGAGAAACUCAACACCAAGUUCCAACAAUAUCCUUCGGGCCCUGAGUUCUUUGAAUCUUCUCGUGGCACUUUGACUAAAGCAGCUAGGGCAAUGUGUGUCCCAAGCAUACUCUACAGAUCCGAACUGUGGAGCAGAGGUGGCCCCGCGGUGCUAAACAUUCUAGAACCUCAAUACAAUGAGAUUUUCAGCUAGCUCAAGCUAUCUUCAGAAAGGUUGCAGCCUUGCAUGCAGAUAGGCUACGCUUUUUCACCUAUCGCUCAUUAGUACAGGAGGAAGUAGGUUAUUGAGUGUCUGGGGAGGCCAUAAGCCGCUGCGGCCGGUUACCUGGUUUCUGUGGUAUCUUCUCAGUUGAGGCCUAUACACUGAAAGUCGGACACCCGUGGCUGAUCAAGGUGCAACAGUACACGAACAAAACCUUUUUGUCUGGAUGCCUGGACAUGCAGGCAUACCAGGCAAUGAAGCUGCCGACGUUCUAGCAAACCAGGGUCGUCAUGCUCCGCAGGAGGUAACCUGGGUUCCCCUCUGUAACGUAACCCGCUGGAUCAGACAGACCUCGAGGGAGACGUGGAACUCAGCCUGGCAUCACAACCUAUCACAACCGAGAUGCGUUGCUCCGCGGGAUUGAGAACGACACACAAGAGUGGAGAGAUGUGCCAAAUUCUGGAGAUCAGAAGGUUCUGAAUCGGCUCACUCAUGGGAUCAAGAUUCGGUGGCAAUACGGCCUAUUGUCGGGGAUGCGGACAAAUACUAGACAUAACACACAUACUAGUAGAAUGUCCAGCACGCAAGAAAUUGAGGGGUAAUCACGGCGUAAGUGGUUCAACACGGGAAGUAUUGGCAAACAACCGUAACGCUGAAAGUCCUGAACUUCAGGUCAUUUACAAAACUUUACAAAGCAUUUUUUUUUGGAUAUCCUAAGCCAUCCAAACUGUUCUUGAGUUUAAAUCUUAAUGUCUACACGUGUAACGGCAACUUUUUUCGUUAUAAAUAGCUAUGAUUUGCAAUCUAUCAUGUCUAGUAAGUCUUCUGGAAGUUCAGAAAACAGUAUCAGAAUAGUCGGGAUAUCAAAGAUCAUCCAAACUGUUCUUGAAAUCAGACCCUGAAGUCUACGAGUUUAACAUUAACUUCUUUCAUUAUAUAAAGCUACGAUUUUCAUUCUAUCAUGUUGAAUAAGACUUCUGAAAGUUCAAUAAACAGUAUCAGAUCGGUCGGGAUAGCUUAGGUCAUCCAAACUGUUCUUGAGUUUUGAUCCUAAAGUCUACGCGUGUAUUAAUGGUAACUUCUUUCAUUAUACAAAGCUACGAUAUGUAGUUAUGUAGGUUUAGAAGAUUUACUGGACAUGUUGUAAAUCUUCUAAAUGUUAUAUGGACAUAUUCAGAUCGACUGGGGCCAUCCAAACUAUUACGGUGUCAAAAAUCUAGCAUCUAUUGCAAUUGAUAUUUUUGUUGUAAUGAUUGUAUCUAUUUCAUUCAUUUAACGUUAAUAACAAUUAUAAUUAAACUGAAUCAACAAAUUCUUCACCACAACACGCGGUUUGUGGCUGCAGUCCUUACCCUCGGCUGCGUCCCACAUAUAUAGUAGAUUUCAGAUUUGUGCUCGGGAUGUGGCUUCGUCAUAUCUUCACCUUACCUGGAAGUUCUCAGUUGUAGGGAAGUCUAGUAAUCCUGAAAUAUCUCAAAGGUAUUUUGGAAUGGUACUGAGUUCCACAGAAGUUUAUGGAUGUGGGUGGGUUAGACUAGAUAACGUGACUUUUCAUAGCACAAAUAAUGACUACAACGAAUGCAGAUUUCAAAAAAUGGGUUUCUUAAAAGUUUGAACAACCUUAAUGUUUCAAAGGUACCGAUCAAUGCCUACUGGUCUUUGACGAAUAUUAUUAAAUAUGAUUCAUUAUGUAUCAUUAUUUAGUGUAGCAGGCAUUGCAAGUGUAGAUAUAAAGCUGUUGACCCUUGAGAGUUAGGAGGUUCAUGAAUUUUAUUUGGUAGUGUGACGUUACUAUCAGCUCAUGCUCCAGGGGUUGUUUUUAUCAACUAAACUUCAUGACGAUGGCUCAUAAUAUCCCAAAAAUAUACAACAACGCCUAUUGUUCCUCGAACUACUUUGAUAAAUACAGUGGAUGUAACACUACUUAACGUACUAGCAAAAGCUAUUAUCACAAGUGUAGAUCAGAAACUAUGGUCUCCGAAGUGGUUUUAUCUUGGAAUGACUCAUGCAAUGCCAAAGGGAUUACAGAUCACACAUGGAUCUGUAAUGUUACAGUUCACUGUUACUGCCAAGAGCUUAACUUCAAUACAGUUUGGACGACCUUUGAUGUCCCAAAGGUUCAUAAUAAUGUACAGUAAACUUUAGGUUGAUCCAGUAAUCGCGAUUGAUUACGCAACGUUACUCAGAAUAUCAUAUAUGACUGCUGUUACGAGUGUAGACCUGAAGUUCUGAACUUCAAGGUAGUUUGGCUGACCUGGAAUGUUCCUAUAGUGUCUCUAAAUGACAUUUGAGAUUUUGAGAGCUUUACGGAUCCCAGAAUAUUAUGGAAUGCUAUUAUUUAUGCUGAAAAUACAUAAAGUUAUUGUUGCAGACUUGAAGGACUUCAUUAUAGGACAGUUUGGACGACCCUGAAUGUCCCAAAGGUUUAUAAUAAUAUCAGGUAGACUUCAGAUUGGUCCAAUACCCACGGAUAAAUAUGCAGCGUUACUCAGUAUAGCAGGUAUGGCUGCUGUUACGAAUGUAUACCUGAAGUUCUAAACUCCAAGGUAGUUUGGCUGUCCGGGAAUAUACGUAUAGUGUCUCUAAAUGACAUUUGAAAUUUCAAGAGCUUCAUGGAUCCCAGCAGAUUAUGUAAUGCUAUUAUUCAUGGCGAAAACACAUAAAGUUAUCGUUGUAAAUUUGAAGGACUUUAUUAUAGGGCUGUUUGGACAACCCUGAACGUCCCAAAGGUUUAUAAUAAUAUAUAGUAGACUUCAGAUUGAUCCAGUGAGUGCGGUUGAUUGUGCAACGUUACUCAGUAUAACAGAUAUGGCUACUGUUACAAGUGUAGACCUGAAGUUCUGAACUCCAAAGUAGUUUGGCUGACCUGGAAUAUGCGUGAAGUGUCUCUAAAUGACAUUUGAGAUUUCAAGAGCUUCACGAGUCCCAGAAUAUUAUGGAGUGCUAUUAUUUAUGGUGAAAAUACAUAAAGUUAUUCAUGUAGACUUGAAGGACUUCAUUAUAGGACAGUUUAGACGACCCUGAAUGUCCCAAAGGUUAAUAAUUUAUAGUAGACUUCAGGUUGAUCCAGUUACCGCAGUUGAUUAUGCAACGUUACUCAGUGUAACAGAUAUGGCUACUGUUGCGAGUGUAGACCUGAAGUUCUGAACUCCAUGGUAGUUUGGCUGACCUGGAAUAUCCCUAUAGUGUCUCUAAAUGACAUUUGAGAUUUCAAGAGCUUCACGGGUCCCAGCAGAUUAUGCAAUGCCAUAAUUUAUGGCGAAAACACAUAAAGUUAUUGUUGUAGAUUUGAAGGACUUCAUGAUAGGACAGUUUAGACGACCCUGAAUGUCCCAUAGGUUAAUAAUAAUUUCUAGUAGACUUCAGGUUGAUCCAGUCAUCGUAGUUGAUUAUGCAUCGUUACUCAUUAUAACAGAUAUGGCUGCUGUUACGAGUGUAGACCUGAAGUUCUGAACUCCAAGGUAGUUUGGCUGACCUGGAAUAUCCCUAUGGUGUCUCUAAAUGACAUUUGAGAUUUCAUAAGCUUCACGGAUCCCAGUAGAGUAUGCAAUGCUAUUAUUAAUGGUCAAAAUACAAGAAGUUAUUGUUGUAUAUUUGAAGGACUUUACUACAGGACAGUUUGGAACACUUAACUUAAAAAAAGGGUUAAAGCAUCUGAAUGAAUUACAGCGCAAGUCAACAACACAGCUACAUUGAUCAGAAGGAAAAGAAACCCACCGUCGCGAGUCUGCAAUCUAAGUUUUGGACCAACCUAACGUAUCAAGCAGUAGUGACAGGACAGUAAACUGGUGCUAGAUCAUCAUCGACGUCGUGUCGUCGUGUCGCGUCGUUCGUUCGUGUGUUUGUCGCCGCCGCACAGUUUGUCAUCAUCGCCUUCUACCUUAAUA